rnacentral:rRNA from 1 species
GGNGGACGGGUGAGUAAUGUAUAGUUAAUCUGCCCUUUAGAGGGGGAUAACAGUUGGAAACGACUGCUAAUACCCCAUACUCCUUUUACAUUAAUUGUAAUUGGGAAAUGUUUUUUCGCUAAAGGAUGAGACUAUAUGGUAUCAGGUAGUUGGUGGGGUAAGAGCCUACCAAGCCAAUGACGCCUAGCUGGUCUGAGAGGAUGAUCAGCCACACUGGAACAGAGACACGGUCCAGACUCCUACGGGAGGCAGCAGUGGGGAAUAUUGCACAAUGGAGGAAACUCUGAUGCAGCAACGCCGCGUGGAGGAUGACGCAUUUCGGUGUGUAAACUCCUUUUAUAUGGGAAGAUAAUGACGGUACCAUAUGAAUAAGCACCGGCUAACGCCGUGCCAGCAGCCGCGGUAAUACGGAGGGUGCAAGCGUUACUCGGAAUCACUGGGCGUAAAGCGCGCGCAGGCGGCCUUUUAAGUUGGAUGUGAAAGCCUAUGGCUCAACCAUAGAACUGCAUCCAAAACUAUCAGGCUAGAGUGUGGGAGAGGAAGAUGGAAUUA